rnacentral:rRNA from 1 species
CAGUAGCCGCGGUAAAACGGAGGGAGCUAGCGUUAUUCGGAAUUACUGGGCGUAAAGCGCACGUAGGCGGCUUUGUAAGUUAGAGGUGAAAGCCUGGAGCUCAACUCCAGAAUUGCCUUUAAGACUGCAUCGCUUGAAUCCAGGAGAGGUGAGUGGAAUUCCGAGUGUAGAGGUGAAAUUCGUAGAUAUUCGGAAGAACACCAGUGGCGAAGGCGGCUCACUGGACUGGUAUUGACGCUGAGGUGCGAAAGCGUGGGGAGCAAACAGGAUUAGAUACCCCUGUAGUCCCUGUCUCUUAUAC